rnacentral:rRNA from 1 species
UACGAAGGGGGCUAGCGUUGUUCGGAAUUACUGGGCGUAAAGCGCACGUAGGCGGACUAUUAAGUCAGGGGUGAAAUCCCGGGGCUCAACCCCGGAACUGCCUUUGAUACUGGUAGUCUCGAGUCCGGAAGAGGUGAGUGGAAUUCCGAGUGUAGAGGUGAAAUUCGUAGAUAUUCGCAAGAACACCAGUGGCGAAGGCGGCUCACUGGCCCGGUACUGACGCUGAGGUGCGAAAGCGUGGGGAGCGAGUCCGG